CGCGAAAAUUAACUUACAUUUAGCUGGAUUUAUUGCCGUCGUAGUUCCAUCUUAUCGCCUUCGUACUUUUAUUCGAUGGCAACACGACGGGAUUACGUGGUCUUCACGAAGUCGUGUUGCCAUCGUAAGACCUUCGGGUAGCUUCGUGAUUCAUUCGUGUAGACAUCGUAAUGUCAAAACUGCCCGAUGGAAACGAUGGAAACACGAAUGCAAUACGAUGUUCAAAGAUGCAUUCCCGGUGACAUUACGAUGGUG
rnacentral:lncRNA from 1 species